AAGGAUCAAUUGAUAAUACGAAGUUCAAUUCAUAGCCUAAUAAAGUUCUACAGUUCGGCCUAUACGUGACGUUUAAUUCCAUGUUUCAGGUACUAUACGAUAAUUCCUGAUAUUAGCGUGCUUUAUCAAAUCUAUUUAGUUGGAUCUAUAAAUGCCUGGAUUGUCCAGGCUAUGAGAAAAAUAAUUCAUAGGCCCAAAUUAUCUAAUUCUGGUAUACAUGAAAUCCUGGGCAUGUUUGGAAGAAUAAAAAAAAUUGAAAGUCAUGCCCUUUACGUUGGG
rnacentral:lncRNA from 1 species